rnacentral:tRNA from 1 species
GGGCGCGUAGCUCAGUUGGUAGUAGCGCAUGACUGUUAAUCAUGAUGUCGUAGGUUCGAGUCCACUCGUGCCCA